rnacentral:rRNA from 1 species
GACGAACGCUGGCGGCGUGCUUAACACAUGCAAGUCGAACGGAAAGGCCCUGCUUUUGUGGGGUGCUCGAGUGGCGAACGGGUGAGUAACACGUGAGUAACCUGCCCUUGACUUUGGGAUAACUUCAGGAAACUGGGGCUAAUACCGGAUAGGAGCUCCUGCUGCAUGGUGGGGGUUGGAAAGUUUCGGCGGUUGGGGCUGGACUCGCGGCUUAUCAGCUUGUUGGUGGGGUAGUGGCUUACCAAGGCUUUGACGGGUAGCCGGCCUGAGAGGGUGACCGGCCACAAUGGGACUGAGAGAGGGCCCAGACGCCUACGGGAGGCAGCAGUGGGGAACAUUGCGGAAUGGGCGGAAGCCUGAUGCAGCAACGCCGCGUGCGGGAUGACGGCCUUCGGGUUGUAAACCGCUUUCGCCUGUGACGAAGCGUGAGUGACGGUAAUGGGUAAAGAAGCACCGGCUAACUACGUG